AUCCUGCUGACUAGUCCUGAAUAGGACGAAAAGCGCGUUCUGGAU
rnacentral:hammerhead_ribozyme from 1 species